UAGGGAAUUUUCCGCAAUGGGCGAAAGCCUGACGGAGCAACGCCGCGUGAAUGAGGACGGCCUUCGGGUUGUAAAGUUCUGUUCUGUGGGAAGAAAAAAAUGACGGUACCAUAGGAGAAAGCCCCGGCUAACUACGUGCCAGCAGCCGCGGUAAUACGUAGGGGGCAAGCGUUAUCCGGAAUUAUUGGGCGUAAAGCGCGCGCAGGCGGUUAAUUAAGUCAGAUGUGAAAGGCUACGGCUCAACCGUAGAGUUGCAUUUGAAACUGGUUAACUUGAGUGCAGGAGAGGUAAGUGGAAUUCCCGGUGUAGCGGUGGAAUGCGUAGAGAUCGGGAGGAACACCAGUGGCGAAGGCGGCUUACUGGCCUGCAACUGACGCUGAGGCGCGAAAGCGUGGGGAGCGAACA
rnacentral:rRNA from 1 species